GGUUGCGUGGUAAAUUGACUUCCGGUAGAUUUUUUUUUUACGUAUAAAGAAACCAUUCUCGAAGAUUUUUACCACCACUUUUACAACAAAUCAUGAAUGGAAACUGAAUUGUUAAAGAAGAUGUUACAGAGGAGCAUACUACUUCCACAAACCUGAUUUGAUUGUCACUAACUUUCAAAUUGAAAGGGAUCUACUACAACUGCUCAUGAAUUUCGAGAUUUUACAGCUAAUAGAGGAACAAAUUUUAUCUGCUUCCACUUAGCCAAACAGCAUGGAAAUAUGCUAUUGUAAUGAGUAGAAGAUAUUUGUCAUUUAGAGUAUCAUGCAACAGCUAAUUAUCAGUCCACACAUUUCAAGAUGAGGAAAAGAACAGUAUAAGCUACAUUCAUUGAUGCAUUAUUUAUACAAAAAUGUAUAGUCAACCCAGUCAUCACUCCAUUUUUUUAUGAAGCCAGUUACAGUUACCAUGAAGGGAUGAAAUUUCAGAUAAUAUUUUGUUUAUUUCAUGAAAUGAGAAUAGGCCUACAUCAGAAAUUGAGAUGGUCAUCUUCAGUAUUUAAUGUUUCAUCUAAAAAUGAUAAAUAUAUUAAUACAUAUUUGAUGUACAAACAAAUGAAAACCAUUCAAACACUUUUUUUUUGUGAAGUAUAGAUGAUUAAACUUGUAAGUGUCUGAACAAUA